rnacentral:tRNA from 1 species
GCCCGGCCUGGUGGAGGCUGCCACCGGGCUGCUGCGGGUCGCCCCGAACCUCGGCUGGCGCGACGUGGACGUGCGUGCCGAGGUGCGCCGCCGGCUU